GGAUCAGUACGCUGGUCGUGCCUUGGUAUGUACUGGUGUUACUGGUUCCUACCUUCUGACGAACCGUCAUGUCAUUAAUUUGGUGUGGCGGGGAAUCAGGACUGUUACUUUGAAAAAAUUAGAGUGUUUAAAGCAGGCUCGCGCUUGAAUACAUUAGCAUGGAAUAAUGAAAUAGGACGUUCGAUCCUAUUUUGUUGGUUUCUAGGAUUGACGUA
rnacentral:rRNA from 2 species